AUUGAACGCUGGCGGCAGGCCUAACACAUGCAAGUCGAGCGAGCGGCGGACGGGUGAGUAAUGUACGGGGACUGACCGAUAGAGGGGGAUAACUACUGGAAACGGUAGCUAAUACCGCAUACUAUCGGAUAACCCAUAUGGGAUUAGCUAGUAGGUGAGGUAAUGGCUCACCUAGGCGACGCUCCCUAGCUGGUCUGAGAGGAUGAACAGCCACAUUGGGAAUGAGCCACUGCCCAGACUCCUAGGGAGGCAGCAGUGGGGAAUAUUGCACAAGGGGAGCAAGCUUGAUGCAGCCAUGCCGCGUGUAUGAAGAGGGCCCUAGGGUUGUAAAGUACUUUCAGUCGGGAGGCGUUACCGACAGAAGAAGCACCGGCUAACUCCGUGCCAGCAGCCGCGGUAAUC
rnacentral:rRNA from 1 species